UUCUAAAAUAUUCAUGAAACAUGGGACCGGGCCUGACUGUUAACACCGCUGCUGGUUCCCUCCAAUGGAGUGACAAACGGGCACCAAGUGCUGUCAUCUGUCCCUUUGAUCUUUCCAGGGAUGAGUGGGGGCCUCCCACACCACACACUAACCUUUGUGAGCACAGCAUUGUGAUAUACACAAAUCUCUUGCAACGGCAGGGCAGAGAAAGGAAAAUGUCUUAGAAAAAAAAAAGAAGCAAAUUGGCCUUUGAGAGAGAAUGGGGGGAGAAAACCGUGCGACUCGAUCCUGACUGCUUGGGUGAGGAGCAUCACUGAGCGGCUCCCCACGCUGAGAGGGAAGCACCGUGUGAAGCUGCUGCAGUUUAACAGGGCGGCUAAUUAAAAGGAGCGACACGAAAGGC